rnacentral:lncRNA from 1 species
UUAACAACCAUUCCCUUGGAAGAUGCUGCACAUCGAUGACUUCGCGAUGCACCAGUCAGCUGUUCGGCUGGAUACCCCGCCUGGACUCUUCAGGAAUUUUUGGAGGGUUUUUUUUAUUUCUGAAUCACAUCAAAAGAUUUCCUGCGAACCACAACACAGUGGGGAUCUUGUGAAUUUCAAGCCCUGCGAGUUUAAAUGCUUCCAGGAGUUGAUGUCACUAACCAGUGGUUUUAGGCUUGACCGUCUAAAUUCUCACUUAUGCCACAGACAGUUUGAAUGGCUGCCAUUUAGAAUGCGAUCACCAGCAGCGAGGAGGGUGCAACGUCUGGGGUUUCACCAUGCUGUGAAUAGUUUCUUGUGGUUUGAAAGAUGUUACGUGCUUCUUUUCAAGAAAACUUCACUCUCAACUUGAAGAUGCUUCGAAAAGACAGGAUCAUUUGCCUGACAGGUUUUAGCCACGGUAACAGGUAGAUGCUUUUAUCUGGAUCACAGACCUACUGCAAAUUUAUUUUGUAAUUGGAGAGGUGCAGUCUGUUUCACAGUAAGUAAAUUCUAUUCGUUUCUUAUUGUCUUCUUAAUUUGCAGUCUAUACUAUUUGUGAGAUGAUUACUCGUCCCUAAUUUUAGCAAAGCCCUAAAGUACAAAGCUGACUAAUUUGACAUAAGGCAAUAGAACAAGUUCAGAGUUGUGUAAAAUCUUAUUCGGAGUACAAGUAUAAUAUAGGCAGAAAAUGUCAAGGAAAGGUGUACCUGGAUCAACGGGCAUUUGAAUUAACGUUGUUAAUAAAUAUUACAUAGAAAAGACA